rnacentral:rRNA from 1 species
GAUGAACGCUCGCGAUAGGCUUAACACAUGCAAGUCGAGGGGCAGCAUGGUCUUAGCUUGCUAAGACUGAUGGCGACCGGCGCACGGGUGCGUAACGCGUAUGCAACUUGCCUCACAGAGGGGGAUAACCCGUCGAAAGACGGACUAAUACCGCGUACACUUGGGAUAGGGCAUCCUGACCCAAGGAAAUGAAAUUCGCUGUGAGAUAGGCAUGCGUCCCAUUAGCUAGUUGGUGAGGUAACGGCCCACCAAGGCGACGAUGGGUAGGGGAACUGAGAGGUGGACCCCCCACACUGGUACUGAGACACGGACCAGACUCCUACGGGAGGCAGCAGUGAGGAAGAUUGGGCAAUGGGCGAGAGCCUGAACCAGCCAAGUCGCGUGAAGGAUGACUGUCUUAUGGAUGGUAAUCUUCUUUUAUACGGGAAUAACAAGAGCCACGUGUGGCUCCCUGCAGGUACCGUAUGAAUAAGCAUCGGCUAACUCCGUG